rnacentral:rRNA from 1 species
AAAUUGAAGAGUUUGAUCAUGGCUCAGAUUGAACGCUGGCGGCAGGCCUAACACAUGCAAGUCGAACGGUAGCACAGAGAGCUUGCUCUCGGGUGACGAGUGGCGGACGGGUGAGUAAUGUCUGGGAAACUGCCUAAUGGAGGGGGAUAACUACUGGAAACGGUGGCUAAUACCGCAUAACGUCGCAAGACCAAAGAGGGGGACCUUCGGGCCUCUUGCCAUCAGAUGUGCCCAGAUGGGAUUAGCUUGUUGGUGAGGUAACGGCUCACCAAGGCGACGAUCCCUAGCUGGUCUGAGAGGAUGACCAGCCACACUGGAACUGAGACACGGUCCAGACUCCUACGGGAGGCAGCAGUGGGGAAUAUUGCACAAUGGGCGCAAGCCUGAUGCAGCCAUGCCGCGUGUAUGAAGAAGGCCUUCGGGUUGUAAAGUACUUUCAGCGGGGAGGAAGGUGUUGUGGUUAAUAACC